AUGCUUUGGCUGUCCCCGAAGCCCCCACCCCCUUCUCCCAGGCGUCCAAGGCGGGGGCUGCUGGGAGUGCUGACAGGUCGCACGCUGCCUAAAGGAUGGGUUCUAAAAUCUGUCCCGGGUGCAGUUUUUUUUAGAUUGCAGACUGGGAAGCUCAUUCAUGCAACAGAUUCGAGUGACCUGGUCAGCCCUGUGACUCCAGUAGCCAUCGCGCACUGCGACUGGCAGGGGGUGUCGGUCCUGUGGGUCCAAGAUCUCUCUUCCCAAGCUGACCCUCAUCCUUGGGGGCGUCCCGGUACCCCCCGGCCUGCUUCCAGCGGUGACGUCCAGUCCUCCCUCUCGGGGGCUGUGGCACACGGAUGAAGGGAGACUGUGUCAAACAGGUGUGCGCCCAUUUUCACAAAGCGAUAGCCCAGCCCAGGGUGGGGGAUGAGCCAGGCCUCACCUGCCCGACAAGGGGGCUGGGAAUCUCGACGCCAUCGCGGGGGGCUUGAUCUCGUCAAGUGACUGAUGUCAUCUGGAAUCUAAUUCGCAGUUCAGGUGGGGAGCUGCGUCAGCAGGCGUAGGCUGCAAAGGAACAAGUAAGAGGUUUAUUCCCUGCUGAAAAGAGAAGAGAGAAAAUGCAAUGUUUCGGCCGUGGAGUCUUCUCCAGGUGUGAGGGUGAAGACCUGAAGAAGACUCUAGGGUCGAAACGUUGUUUUCUUUCUUCUCCUUUCAGCAAUGAAUAAACCUCUUACUUGUUCCUUUGCAUCUAGUUAGCAUCAGUGCGCUGGAGUCUUAGCUCCAGGUCUCUUUACUGUGUUUUUAUUCCUGAUGGUCGCCCUCAACUCGACUCGGACCGAGGUCAGAGGGCCCCUUCCCCCAUUCCUCCUAGCGGGGCUGAGGCCUUUUUCCCUCCUCCCGGUAGGAGGACCGUUCUCGAAGGCUCUUGAAGGGCUUUCCGCUCGAGAAGCAGGGUAGGGGUCAGUCCUGGGGCACGAGGCGCCCUGUGCCCUGACCGGAGUGUGUCAACAGGAGCAGUCACUGCAGAGUGAUGAGGGGAGCUGUGCUGAAGCUUACUUCACCUGGAUGGCUGCACGAGUCUUCAUUACAGUAAAGUAGAGUACCAUUAACGAAGGCAGUAGGAUUUUUGUACUGUAUUUCCUUUGAUCUUCUUCCUUCAUCUGAGCUCCUCUGUGCUUCUCAUAUGACCUUUACACCAGCUGCGGGACUGUGCGGUUUUUAGAAGGGGUUGUGUUUUGGGGGCUGUGGGAUUUGAUAGAAACGCCUUGUGCUGGCCCUGGGGUAGAAUAUCCAAGGUGCCCACAGAAGAGCACAGCUGGAGACUGACCACUGGCCGCUGGCUGAUCGUGCAGCGCUAACCCGCUGGCUUGGGCAGGAGCUUAGCGUGUUGCCUGAAGAGACGUUGCUGUCCCUGGUCUUAUCUGCCCUCCGGGUGCGAACAAGUUCCCUUGUCUCAGCUUCUAAAUAUAAUUGAACCAAGUUUCCAUGAUGUUACUGUGGGGUCAUCUGAAGCACGGGGUCAAACAAGAAUGUGACCCCCCCUCCUCCAGCCCUCCGAUCCCAGACUGCAAGAGGUAAUGGGUCUGGAAUGUGUACGUGGUGGGCGGAUCGCAGUCCUGAGCAGAUAAGGGAGCCCAGUGUAGAAGCCUGGGCUGUUGUCUGUCAGAGUGCAGCUGGGUGGUCAAAGUCUGGCAGCCUCAGAGCCGCGCGGCUCUGGCUGAAUAAGGACUUGGAGCAUAAGAGAGCUUCAAAGUGGCCUGUCUUGACCAUUGGGUUGCUAGUAGCUCCCUGAUCCAAGAACCUCACCCCGCCGUUUCUUAUGAGAAGCCAGGGUCUCGGGUUCAACAGCGAUGGGCGACAGUCUUGGGAAGAGGGUAACCCUGGCAGAUUAAGUUCAUCCAUCAGGAUCGUUACCGAAAAGGUUGCUCAUCUUAUUUGAUGGAAAAGCAGCUUUGUUCAUGCAGGCUGCCAGUCUUCACUGUCUGCGACCACAACCCCUCCCCCCCAUCCCAGAAAGCUCUGUGUGCGCAGAAGUUAUAAUUCAAGCGAAUCAACAAUGAACAAAAGGGCUAGGCCACGCCUGCUGCUGGGUCAAGGGUUCGAGCGUGCCCUGGGAGGUGUUCAAGGGCGGGCGGCAUCAAAGAUGAAGGAGGCGGGCCCACCUCGGAGUCGGUGUGGCAGCUGGCCGAGAGCGUUAAUCGCUGUGACAGUGCCCCAUCCGUCGCAACAGGGCAGCUAGUGCGCUUGUCUGGCAGCUGGACCCUGGUUUACUGCCACUCUGCUUCUCAAGGUGAGCCAAGGCAGUCUGCCCCCCCAGUGAACCACAGCCAACAGGAGGCCAAUGAGUCAGAAGAAAGGAAACGGGUUUUAGGAACAGGAGGGCUGCAGUUUGAACUCCCUAUUACAGGGCGUGUGAUUGACAGAGCUGAGCCAACACGCAUUGUGUGCUCCAUGUUGACCAAA
ensembl:lincRNA